rnacentral:lncRNA from 1 species
GUUCAGUGAUGGGAGAAUUUUUCUGGGUGAAACUUCUCCAGCUUGCUGGAGCAAACCAUCUAUGUUUGCAUAUUCCUGAGUAAACAUCACAAAGUAAGCUUUUGCAUGUUGUAGGCUCUUCUUGGAAAGAUCUAUCUUUUCAAGUAGUUCCUCCAUCCGAAAGUGGUCUCAUAUUCCAUUGCCUUGAGUAGUGGCAUCGCUACAUUUACCUUUUAGGAAUGGCCAUGGGACAAACAUGUGUUUUAAGAUAUUUUCAGUUAUAACAUAUUCAUGUUUUUUCAACCUUGAACUACCAUUUUUUCUUGUUCUGUAUUGUGGAUUCAAUCUGUGUUUUUUUUGGUGGGAAAAACUGUUACUAAUCACUAAUCAGAUGUAAUAAAUAAUCCUACCUCAUCUGGUUUCAUUCUAGUUGGAUUUUUAUUUGCUGAAUUUGACUGUUUUACUGACGGGAGGAUUUUUCUGGGUGAAAAUUCUCCAACUUGGUGGAGCAAACAAUCCAUGUUUGCAUAUUCCUAAGUAAACGUCACAAAGUAAGCUUUUGGAUGUUGAUGGCUCUUCUUGGGAAGAUCUAUCUUUGCAAGGAGUUCCUCCAUCUGAAAGUUGUCUCAUAUUCCAUCGCCUUGAGGAGCGGCGUUGCUGCAAUUACCUUUUAGGACUGGCCAUGAGACAAACAUAUGCAUCUUCCUCUGUAUUUUUUUGUGUUACCCACUUCAAUAUUUGUGGUCAGUAAUGGCUGCUACAUAUAC